GGUGGCUCAGUGGUAGAGUGCUUGCCUUGAAUGCAUGAGGUGUGGGUUCGAUUCCUCAGCACCA
rnacentral:tRNA from 1 species